AGACGCCCCAGCUCCGCCGAGAGGCCGCUUGCGCAGGCUCCUUCUUCUUCCGCAAGUGUAGGCAGAGCCCCCGGAGCCAUGGCCAGCCCUUCCCGCAGCUCCGAAGCCACUGGCAAGCCCCGAGGCAGGGAUGGCCGGCCCAGGAGGGAGGAGGACGACGUCCCUCCCGAAGAGAAGAGGCUGCGGCUCUUGCUGGAGGGGGGAAGCGCACAGCCCCAGGACGGCGAGGACGGGGAGGACGCGCCGCGGCCGGGCAGGGUGGAGACCGGCACCCAGACAGGUGGCGACGGCAGAGGAAUAACUUCACUCUUCUCUGCAACGAAUCCCAAAAGUAUAUAAUUGAGCUGACUGCAAGGUACUUGACACGCAAGAGACUCCACAAAUGGGAUUCAGCCUCUGGAAAGUGGUGGUAGUUCCAGAUUUAUGUGGAUGUUACUUUGUUUUUCCCUAUAAAAUAUAUUAUUUAAACUAUCAAACUCUUGGCUCCUGGAUGCAGUCCUUUGCUGGUGGCAGUGGGCUGGGUACUGCCAUUGGGGAGAAAUGCUGCCCACUUAGAGAAAGAGAAAGUGGCUCUCUUUAAGAGGCAGAGGGAGGUUUCCAGUGCCAGUUUGUUUGGAGGCAAAAUGGCUGUUGUAUUAAAAUUGCCCAAACUUGGGCUGGUGCCUUGUGUGUUUAGAGCUCAUAGCCAUGAUUGCUUUCUUUCUUUCUUUCUUUUUUUUUUUUUUGGUGGUCUUUUUUCCAUCCUUUUGCUUGGCAGUUUUCUGUUAAUAGCUCCAACCUCAAAAGUUCCAUUAUACAGACACUAAUAGCAUCUACUAAGUGUCAAUCUGUAGUGCCUGCUAUGUGCCAGGCAUUGGAGAUAAUAUAAUGAUGAACAAGAUAAACAUGGCACUUGGAAAAGAGAGUCUAGUUCCCACUCUCAGCCCACCCCAAAGAGAAGCCAGAAUUCAGCUUCCAAAGAUCUCAGAUGCCCUUGCAUCACCUCCCUGAAGAGGGUGGGUGAAGCUUUGGUGUCUGAAGAGAAUUUGGCUGGACAAUCCCCCAGGUUUGGAACAAUGGGAAGGAGCUGCCAUCUGUGUUUAAGGUGAGAAGUGGGGGAGUGGCUGGAUAUCAGAGGAAGCCAAGAUGAAGAGAAGGUUUUUGUGAGUUCCUAUGCAUAGUGGAGACCUGCUAUAGUGAGGGUCCCUGGGGCUGAGCCUGUGGGUCAGUGGAAUGAUGCUGUGAGGAGGGUCUUGUUAUAGCAGAUGGCCCAAAGAAGGUUGAUGGAUCAUGAGCAGCUGGAAGAAUGGAGAGUUUGGGGGAUGUAGUUCCUACCUGGCUUUCCAACAGUAUGUAAGUCCAGAAUUCUUACAUAAGCCCAUGGAGAAGGGAAAGGAAUGCUGGUAACGACAAGAUUGAAUUCUCCACCUGCCAGGCAUCCAGGGACUCAGAGCAGAUUUAACUGAAGUUACAGAAAUAGGAAUGUGACAUUUCCUACAUUCGGGUGUGCUGGAGCAAAUGUAUUCCCUCUCUGGUUUGUGGGGAAUGAGAAUGCUAAUAGACAAGACUCCAGGUUUUCACUCUUAAACCUGGUGCCUAGAAAUGCAUUUUCUACUGGAUGCAGACAAAAGCUGCAUAUAGAUAUAUGCAUCGCUGCAUCUCUCAUGCCUUGUGUUCUGCCUAAUUUUCUCUUUUUAAC
rnacentral:lncRNA from 1 species